rnacentral:rRNA from 1 species
UACGUAGGGGGCGAGCGUUGUCCGGAAUCAUUGGGCGUAAAGAGCUCGUAGGCGGUUCAGUAAGUCAGGUGUGAAAGCUCCGAGCUCAACUCGGAGAGGCCACCUGAUACUGCUGUGACUAGAAUCCGGUAGGGGAGUGUGGAACUCCUGGUGUAGCGGUGAAAUGCGCAGAUAUCAGGAAGAACACCAGCGGCGAAGGCGGCACUCUGGGCUGGAAUUGACGCUGAGGAGCGAAAGUGUGGGUAGCAAACAGG